rfam:Rothia nasimurium strain PT-32 scaffold18_size34987, whole genome shotgun sequence.
GGGAGCCCCUUACGUGGCGUCAUCGUGGAAAACUCCCCCAGGGCCGGAAGGCAGCAAGGGUAUCUGGGCUCUGACGGGUGCGUAGGGGGUCUUUAGU